rnacentral:rRNA from 1 species
AGAGUUUGAUCCUGGCUCAGGAUGAACGCUAGCGGGAGGCCUAACACAUGCAAGUCGAACGGGAUUGAGAGCUUGCUCUAAAGAGAGUGGCGCACGGGUGAGUAACGCGUAUGCAACCUACCUAUAACUGAGGGAUAGCCCAUAGAAAUGUGGAUUAAUACCUCAUAGUUCUUUUGAUCCGCAUGGAUUAAAAGAUAAAGCUCCGGCGGUUAUAGAUGGGCAUGCGUGACAUUAGCUAGUUGGUAAGGUAACGGCUUACCAAGGCUACGAUGUCUAGGGGUUCUGAGAGGAUGAUCCCCCACCCUUUACUGAGACACGGACCAGACUCCUACGGGAGGCAGCAGUGAGGAAUAUUG